GGAUCAGUAGGUUGGUCGUGCCACCGGUACGUACUGGUCUCACUGAUUCCUCCUUCCUGAAGAACCGUAAUGCUAUUAAUUUGGUGUUGCGGGGAAACAGGACUGUUACUUUGAAAAAAUUAGAGUGUUUAAAGCAAGCUAACGCUUGAAUACAUUAGCAUGGAAUAAUGAAAUAGGACGAUCGAUCCUAUUUUGUUGGUUUCUAGGAUUGACGUA
rnacentral:rRNA from 1 species